AUUGGUCACAAAUUUUUCAAGAUACAGUGCGCCCAUAGCAUAGGCAAGAAAGAUAAGAGGUUGUUUCCCCACUUCUCCUGCAACAAAAACCAAAGUUGACACAAGUUAACUCUCUCAUAAUAAAAUGAAGAUGAUAAAGUCUCAUAAUAUAUUAGUCUGAGAACUACAACCUUGCUAAUAACAGAACCUAGUCAAAGCAAAAGAUUCAUAGAGGCAAUACG
rnacentral:lncRNA from 1 species